UUUUGCUUUUCGCCUCCAUCAGAAAAGCGGUCGCCGCGGCCGGGAAUCGAACCCGCGACCUCGUGCGGGUUCGAUUCCCGGCCGCGGCGGCCCGCUUUUCUGAUGGAGGCGAAAAGCAAUA
rnacentral:pre_miRNA from 1 species